UACGGCCAUACCACACUGACCGCGCCUGAUCUCAUCUGAUCUCGGAAGCUAAGCAGGGUUGGGCCUGGUUAGUACUUGGAUGGGAGAAUCUUCUCCUUGGGGCAGGUUUCUAAGCUGUGU
rnacentral:rRNA from 1 species